UCCGAUAUGUCACAGCAAUCUAAAACAAGUUGCGAUAGAUUUACACUUUGUAAAAGAAAAGACGGAAAACAGAAACUUGACCGUUCAACACAUUUCGGACAAGGAUCAGAAAGCAAAUAUCCUCACAAAGUCACUCAAACCAAAACCAUUUGGGCAUUUGCGAAACGAACUGGUUGAAGAACUUCCACUCAAUUCGAGGGGGUGUGUUGUAACAAAUAGUUAGUCUGAUUAACAGAAUCUUUUACAACUAAGAGCAAUAACAAACUAUACAUCAAUUCCUCGUCAUGUUCAUUCUCCUGUUCUUGAACUGCGUAUCUUCAAGAACCAACUUUAACAUGGUAUCUUCACCAGGCAAUAGCUUCGGCGUUGCUGAUCCAAUUUCCGCUGCCGCAGCCAACGAGACAGGUGGGGAUGCGUCCUCUGCUUAAUCUGCAAAAGUUGUACCAUGCAUCAUCUGUAUUCGAUCUGUACCAUGCAUCUGAUCGUUGACUGGUCUAAUGGGGGUAGGUGGACGAUCGAUGAUUGAUGUUAUAUUACUUAUAUAUAAGAUUUUCUUAUUUUAGUAAAACGUACCAUUUAUAUUUUGGGAAGGCGGCGUUUGCCAUGGAAAUUAGCGGAGAUAUCCUUGGGCCGCUCGAUACCCUUACCCCAGCGGCCAGCAAAUCAACAGAUCUCGCUUCCUUCGAUUUCACCAUCGAUUCCAGCCGAAAUCUCUG
rnacentral:lncRNA from 1 species